rnacentral:rRNA from 1 species
AGCGAACGCUGGCGGCAGGCCUAACACAUGCAAGUCGAACGGAUCCUUAGGGAUUAGUGGCGGACGGGUGAGUAACACGUGGGAACGUGCCCUUUGGUUCGGAACCACUCAGGGAAACUUGAGCCAAUACCGGAUGUGCCCUUCGGGGGAAAGAUUUACCGCCAUGGCAGCGGCCCGCGUCGGACUAGCUGGUUGGUGUGGUAAAGGCCCACCAAGGCGACGAUCCGUAGCUGGUCGGAGAGGAUGAUCAGCCACAUUGUGACUGAGGCAAGGCUCAUACUCCUACGGUAGGCGCCAGUGAGGAAGCUUUCGCAAUGGGCGAAAGCCUCACGCGGCCAUGCCGCGUGAGUGUUGAAGGUCUGAGGAUUGUAAAAUUCUUACUCCGGAGACGAUAAUGACGGUACCCGGAUAAGAAGCCCCGGCUAACUUCGUGCCAGCCGCCGCCGUAAUAC